GUUACACAUGCAAGUCGAAGCGGAAAGGCCUUCGGGGUACUCGAGCGGCGAACGGGUGAGUAACACGUGAGUAACCUGCCCCUGACUCUGGGAUAAGCCUGGGAAACCGGGUCUAAUACCGGAUACGACCAUUUCUCGCAUGUGAUGGUGGUGGAAAGUUUUUUCGGUUGGGGAUGGGCUCGCGGCCUAUCAGCUUGUUGGUGGGGUGAUGGCCUACCAAGGCGACGACGGGUAGCCGGCCUGAGAGGGCGACCGGCCACACUGGGACUGAGACACGGCCCAGACUCCUACGGGAGGCAGCAGUGGGGAAUAUUGCGCAAUGGGCGGAAGCCUGACGCAGCGACGCCGCGUGGGGGAUGACGGCCUUCGGGUUGUAAACCUCUUUCAGCAGGGACGAAGUUGACGUGUACCUGUAGAAGAAGCGCCGGCUAACUACGUGCCAGCAGCCGCGGUAAUACGUAGGGCGCAAGCGUUGUCCGGAAUUAUUGGGCGUAAAGAGCUCGUAGGUGGCUUGUCGCGUCUGCCGUGAAAGCCCGUGGCUUAACUACGGGUCUGCGGUGGAUACGGGCAGGCUAGAGGCUGGUAGGGGCAAGCGGAAUUCCUGGUGUAGCGGUGAAAUGCGCAGAUAUCAGGAGGAACACCGGUGGCGAAGGCGGCUUGCUGGGCCAGUUCUGACGCUGAGGAGCGAAAGCGUGGGGAGCGAACAGGAUUAGAUACCCUGGUAGUCCACGCUGUAAACGUUGGGCGCUAGGUGUGGGGGUCUUCCACGACUUCUGUNCCGUAGCUAACGCAUUAAGCGCCCCGUCCUGGGGAGUACGGGCCGGCAAAGGCUAAAUCUCAA
rnacentral:rRNA from 1 species